UACGUAGGGGGCGAGCGUUGUCCGGAUUCAUUGGGCGUAAAGAGCUCGUAGGCGGUUCGGUAAGUCAGGUGUGAAAUCUCCACGCUCAACGUGGAGGGGCCACCUGAUACUGCCGUGACUCGAGUCCGGUAGGGGAGUGUGGAAUUCCCGGUGUAGCGGUGAAAUGCGCAGAUAUCGGGAGGAACACCAGUGGCGAAGGCGGCACUCUGGGCCGGAACUGACGCUGAGGAGCGAAAGCGUGGGUAGCAAACAGG
rnacentral:rRNA from 1 species